UGUAACAAUCUAAACGUCAGCAUAAAAUGUAUCUAUUUAUGCCUCAUUAAUAAUUUACUUUUUAGUGGCCACCUCAAAAAGUUUUAUAGUUUAGCGAUCUAUUUAUUGAUUUUUACAAGUUUGUGCUUUCAAACGCUAUAUAAAGUACACAAAAUAUUCCACCCUCGAAAUAAAAGACCCAAAGCCCAGAAUCAAAGCAUAAAAAUGAGUUGUGUGUGAAUUCAAUUCAAUAGAUUCUUCAUUUGUGAAGUACACAGUGGAGCCAUAGAAUUUGGGGGGCGAACUCACUUUGCUCAAGUUUCAGUAGAAUGCGGAAUCUUGGGUACAAGGAUACCAAUCAAAAAAACCUGGGAAGGCUACCAUAGAAUGCCUCACAAAGAUUCAAGCUUUGACUCAUUUUUGGGGUUAUAAUAUGUAUUUAUUUCAAAGAGAGCCUUUAUGAGGUAUAGUCUGCUGCAGAAGAAGUGUAAUAAUAUGUUUUUUCUUUAUUCUAGUAUGAGUGAUAUAACGUUCGCUAUUCUAGUUUUUUAGCACUACUGUUUCUCAUUUUUUUUUUUUGGGUACUAUAGUAGUGUUAUUGUUGCUUCUCUCUAUAUUUGUUUUGAGUUCAAAUAUUGCUCUGCUGUGCUGUGCUCUCAUUUGCCUACACGGUGCAGUCAAUGCUCUUCAAGAUCUAUACAGGUCCCUGAACAACCCACCAGUGCUGAAGGGAUGGAGAGUCAUGAACAGGAGUGUCAUGUUCUUAUUCAUCUGUUAUACACCUGUAAUCCACUUAGCUAACCUAUUUUUUCUACUAACUAUGCCAUAUUGCCAUAAAAGCCCAAAACCUUACCCUUCUAUGGUCUCUACUAAUUUUAUGCAGUAAAAUUCAAGGACUAAACCUCACUGGGUGGAUUGGAGGCAAGCUUAAUAACCUGCAUCAUUUUAAGCACCUGUAAUUGAAACUGCCUUGUUAUAUUUAGCUCUUGUUGAAAUAGUACCUGUAGUGUUUAUUUAAUUCUUUAUUCUGGUUUCUUCUUUAGGGAUGUCAGCUUCAAUAACAUUCAGGGUGAAACUGUUUAGUGACAGGAAGGGCAACUGUUAUUUGUUUAUAUAGUAACAUUCUGGUUUCUUCUCUA